rnacentral:misc_RNA from 1 species
GAUGGAACGCAGCGAAAUGCGAUACGUAAUGUGAAUUGCAGAAUUCAGUGAAUCAUCGAGUCUUUGAACGCACAUUGCGCCCCCUGGUAUUCCGGGGGGCAUGCCUGUCCGAGCGUCAUUGCUGCCCUCAAGCACGGCUUGUGUGUUGGGCCUCCGUCCUCCUCCCGGGGGACGGGCCCGAAAGGCAGCGGCGGCACCGCGUCCGGUCCUCGAGCGUAUGGGGCUUCGUCACCCGCUCUUGUAGGCCCGGCCGGCGCUUGCCGACACAUCAAUCUUUUUUCCAGGUUGACCUCGGAUCAGGUAGGGAUACCCGCUGAACUUAAGCAUAUCAAUAAGCGGAGGA